GUCAGAUGGAGUCAGGUGUGUUAGAUGGAGUCGGGUAGAGUUAGAUGGAGUCAGCUAGAGUCAGAUGGAGUCAGGUAGAGUCAGAUGGAGUCAGGUAGAGUCAGAUGGAGUCAGGUGUGUUAGAUGGAGUCGGGUAGAGUUAGAUGGAGUCAGCUAGAGUCAGAUGGAGUCAGGUAGAGUCAGAUGGAGUCAGGUAGAGUCAGAUGGAGUCAGGUGUGUUAGAUGGAGUCGGGUAGAGUUAGAUGGAGUCAGCUAGAGUCAGAUGGAGUCGGGUAGAGUCAGUUGGAGCCAGGUGGAAUCAGGUAGAGUCAGACGGAGUCAGGUAGAGUCAGUUGGAGCCAGUUGGUGUCACGUAGAGUCAGAUGGAGUUGGGUAGAGUACGAUGGAGUCGGGUAGAGUUAGAUGGAGUCAGGUAGAGUCGGAUAAAGUCGAUUGGAGCCAGGUGGAGUCAGGUAGAGUCAGAUGGAGUCGGGUAGAGUUAGAUGGAGUCAGGUAGAGUCAGAUGGAGUCAGUUAGAGUCAGAUGGAGACGGUUGGAGACAGGUGGAGUCAGGUAGAGUCAGAUGGAGUUGGGUAGAGUUAGAUGGAGUCAGCUAGAGUCAGAUGGAGUCAGGUAGAGUCAGUUGGAGCCAGGUGGUGUCAGGUAGAGUCAGAUGGAGUUGGGUAGAGUUAGAUGGAGUUGGGUAGAGUCAGAUAAAGUCAGAUGGAAUCAGAUGGAGUCAGGUAGAGUCAGAUGGAGUUGGGUAGAGUUAGAUGGAGUCGGGUAGAGUUAGAUGGAGUCAGGUAGUGUUGGAUGGAGUCAGGUAGAGUCAGUUGGAGCCAGGUGGAGUCAGGUAGAGUCAGAUGGAGUUGGGUAGAGUCAGUUGGAGCCAGGUGGAGUCAGGUAGAGCCAGAUGGAGUCAGGUAGAGUCAGAUGGAGUCAGGUAGAGUUAGAUGGAGUCAGCUAGAGUCAGAUGGAGUCGGGUAGAGUAAGUUGGAGCCAGGUGGAAUCAGGUAGAGUCAGAUGGAGUCAGGUAGAGUCAGUUGGAGCCAGGUGGUGUCAGGUAGAGUCAGAUGGAGUUGGGUAGAGUUAGAUGGAGUCAGGUAGUGUUGGAUGGAGUCAGGUAGAGUCAGUUGGAGCCAGGUGGAGUCAGGUAGAGUCAGAUGGAGUUGGGUAGAGCCAGGUGGAGUCAGGUAGAGUCAGGUAGGGUCAGAUGGAGUUGGGUAGAGUUAGAUGAAGUCGGGUAGAGUUAGAUCGAGUCAGAUAGCGUUAGAUGGAGUCAGGUAGAGUCAGAUGAGUCGGGUAGAGUCAGUUGGAGCCAGGUGGAGUCAGGUAGAGUCAGAUGUAGUCGGGUAGAGUUAGAUGGAGUUGGGUAGAGUUAGAUGGAGUCAGGUACAGCCGGAUGGAGUCAGGUAGAGUCAGUUGGAUCCAGGUGGAGUCAGUUAGAGCCAGAUGGAGUUGGGUAGAGCCAGGUGGAGUCAGGUAGAGUCAGGUAGGGUCAGAUGGAGUCGGGUAGAGUCAGUAGGAGCCAGUUGGACUCAGGUAGAGUCGGAUAAAGUCGAUUGGAGUCAGGUGGAGUCAGGUAGAGUCAGAUGGAGUCGGGUAGAGUUAGAUGGAGUCAGGUAGAGUCAGAUGGAGUCAGGUAGAGUCAGAUGGAGACGGUUGGAGCCAGGUGGAGUCAGGUAGAGUCAGAUGGAGUUGGGUAGAGUUAGAUGGAGUCAGCUAGAGUCAGCUAGAGUCAGAUGGAGUCAGUUAGAGUCAGUUGGAGCCAGGUAGAGUCAGGUAGAAUCAGAUGUAGUAGGGUAGAGUUAGAUGGAGUUGGGUAGAGUUAGAUGGAGUCAGGUAGAGUCAGUUGGAACCAGGUGGAGUCAGGUAGAGCCAGAUGGAGUUGGGUAGAGCCAGGUGGAGUCAGGUAGAGUCGGAUGGAGUCGGUUGGAGCCAGAUGGAGUCAGUUGGAGUCGGGUAGAGCCAGAUGGAGUUGGGUAGAGUCAGAUAAAGUCAGAUGGAAUCAGGUGGAGUCAGGUAGAGUCAGCUGGGGUCAGAUGGAUUCAGUUGUAGUCGGGUAGAGCCAGGUGGAGUCAGAUGGAGUCAGAUGGAGUCAGGUGGAGGCAGGUAGAGUCAGGUGGAGUCAGCUGGGGUCAGAUGGAAUCAGGUGGAGUCAGGUAGAGUCAAGGUGGAGUCAGAUGGAGUCAGGUGGAGGCAGCUGGGGUCAGAUGGAGUCAGGUGGAGUCAGGUAGAGUCAGGUGGAGUCAGAUGGAGUUGAGUAGAGUCAGCUGGGGUCGGAUGGAGUAAGGUUUAGAUAAUAUGAGUGCAGUGAGAUCAGUGUUCUUCAGUGCUGUGGUCUGAUGUUGGUGUCGCUGGCUUCCUGCCAGAGCUAAUGCUGAUCUGUGCCAGAGCGUGUUCCUGCGUGUGGGCUGUUCAAAGUGCGCUGUGUUUUCAAUUAACAGCAGAUUGUAAUGAGGCUCCUGAUAGAUUAGCGGCACACAGAGCUGUUUGUAUAAAUGCAGAAUCUGGAGGUGUUUGAGGCUGAUCAGUGUGUGCUUGUGAGUCUGACACGACUCGUGAAUAUAAAAUAAUAGCUGAGAGUGAGAGCUAUGAUUGGAUGAGUGUUUAAAGAUGUUUAUAUUCAGAUACAGCCACACUGAUGAACUACAACACAUGAUGGAAUUACUACUUGAGUGUAUGUUGUUUAUUUAUUAGAUUAAACCAUCCAUUGAGUGUUAAUGUCUUUUAUAUUACUGUCCAGGAUGUUACAGAAAAGUGGCUUGUUCUGCAUCUUAUUAGCCAUCUAUCAGUACUGCAUUAACUAACAUUAACAAAGAGCAAUGCAUUCGUUAUAGUAUUUAUUCAUCUUUCUUAAAAUUGUUUAAUAAAAACAAAACUAAAAUGUUAAUUGUUAGUUCAAGUCAACUGAGGUCCAUUAAAUAAUGUUAACAGAUACAACUUUAGAUUUGGAUCAUGUGUUAGUAUAUGUUGUAAUGAACUAAUAUUAAAAAUGCUUUAGAAGUAUUUUUCAUUGUUAAUUCAUGUUGAUGUAAACUUUAUUGUAUAGUCUUGUUUGAUGAAAGUCUGCCUGAGCAUGUGACUGCAGUAUUCUGGACGUCACUGUCUUUGAAGAAUGAAGUUGUGAAUGUGGUUUUAGAGACAGAAGUGUCCUUCAUGGAUCUCCUUGUGAAGCAUCGUUCAUCAGAGUAAUUGCAAACACAUCCCGUUUGUGCAUUACGCUGCAUUAGUGUUGAGGAGGAGCGGGAGGCGCAAACACAUGGCAGCGUGUUCCCCUCCAGUGAAGCCACAGCCGCAGCCGCAGGCGAGACAGAUGAGAGCGCAGUGGACAGCUGGGCCUCACACACACGCACACACACACCCACACACACACACACGCACACACGCACACACACACGCACACACCCACACAUACACACGCACGCACACCCACACAC